rnacentral:ncRNA from 2 species
UGAAUAUGUGUAGAAGUAGGUGCAGAUUAUGUAAAAUAAAAUCUGCUUAAUAGGGAAGUUCGGUUGAAAUCCGGCGCUGUCCCGCAACUGUAUUUGGGAGCCCAUUCGAUGAAACCACUGUCUUUUUUAGAUGGGAAGGUUCGAGUUGGUGAUGAUCAUAAGCCAGGAGACCUGCCUAUUUUAGCACACAUCA